ACUGGACAAGAAUGCUGAAAUCGCAGCGCAGGAUCCUGUGGGAGCCAUUCUCACCUUUGCUGCUGGAACUUUCUCACACUUGUCUUUUGCUACUUCAGUACUGCAGUGAAGAGAUUAGUAGAUCCUCUUCAUAAAUGGUGUUGGAAUGAAGGAGAGCCAGGAUUCCCACCUGCUGUAGAGACAAAUGGUGCUGUAUUGAGCUGUUCUUGUGGACUGUGCCUGGGGAGGUAAGUAAUUUGGCCAGCAGUGGUUUGAAUCUC
rnacentral:lncRNA from 1 species